CCAAUAGCGUAUAUUAAAGUUGUUGCAGUUAAAAAGCUCGUAGUUGAAUUUCGGGAUCAGUACGUUGGUCGUGCCUUCGGUACGUACUGAUGUUACUGGUUUCUACCUUCUGAAGAACCAUCAUGUCAUUAAUUUGGUGUGGCGGGGAAUCAGGACUGUUACUUUGAAAAAAUUAGAGUGUUUAAAGCAGGCUCGCGCUUGAAUACAUUAGCAUGGAAUAAUGAAAUAGGACGUUCGAUCCUAUUUUGUUGGUUUCUAGGAUUGACGUAAUGAUUAAUAGGGAUAGUUGGGGGCAUUAGUAUUCAAUUGUCAGAGGUGAAAUUCUUGGAUUUAUUGAAGACUAACUACUGCGAAAGCAUUUGCCAAGGAUGUUUUCAUUAAUCAAGAACGAAAGUUAGGGGAUCGAAGACGAUCAGAUACCGUCGUAGUCUUAACCAUAAACUAUGCCGACUAGGGAUCGGAUGAUGUUAAUUUUUUAAUGACUCAUUCGGCGCCUUACG
rnacentral:rRNA from 1 species